CCCAGUCCCCACCUGUAGGAGAGCGGGGGGCCUGGUCCGCAGUAGAGGGCAGUGGGAGGUGGGCCCUGGCCGGAGACCCUGGUGGCUUCCCCCAUCCGUCCCUGUCCCCUGUGUUCAUCCCUAGUGGGAUUUUUUAUUUCGUCAGUUAACAGGUAUGUAUCAACCCACUGCGCAUCGGGCAUGUUCGAGGCACUGGGAACCUAGGAGAGAACAAAACAGAAGUGGACCCACUGGCGCUUAAUGAACGCGGGUGGGACUGAGCCAAGGAAGGUGCCAACAGGAAAUUCCCCGGAGCAGUGAGGGAUGGAUGUCGGAGGUCGGCCAGGGAUACUAUCUCCAGCAUCAAGCUUCCCAGCGAGCUGGAAAGAAACCGGUCCCACAGGAGAGGUAGCCAGGAGGAAGCCUCUAACUCACCCCUCAGCUCCUGGAAGUCUCAGGAAUCUCUCAGGAGGAACUGAGGCUGCAAGAAACAGAGAAGAAAUGUGGCCCCGGGUUUGAGUUCCCAUUCGCCUGGCUGUUCGUUCUUGCCAGGUGACCUCAGCCAGACCCAUCACCUCUUGGAACCUCUGUUUCCUCUCUCCAUUCAUUCCGUCUUCCUCUCUGAUGUCUCGUUCUCAAGGGGUCCCUCCCGGCACCCCCCUCUCUAACAUACUCUAUCUCCUUACCCUGUUGUGGUAUGUUUUUCUUAGCACUUUACUGAUGUUAUAUUUUUAUUAGAGGCCCAGUGCACAAAAUUCAUGCACUGGUAGGGUCCUGGCUG